rnacentral:rRNA from 1 species
UACGUAGGCAGCGAGCGUUGUUCGGAGUUACUGGGCGUAAAGCGUGCGUAGGCGGUUUUGUAAGUUUGGUGUGAAAUCUCCCGGCUCAACUGGGAGGGUGCGCCGAAAACUGCAAGGCUGGAGUGUGGGAGAGGUAGGCGGAAUUCCUGGUGUAGCGGUGAAAUGCGUAGAUAUCAGGAGGAACACCGGUGGCGAAAGCGGCUCACUGGACCGUUACUGACGCUGAGGUGCGAAAGCUAGGGGAGCAAACGGG